AACGAGGACGGAGGCGGCCAGGCGGGGGCGUAGAGCUAGGCGCGCUCUGAUUGGCCCUCGCGUUUCUGCGGGGGCGGGGCGUGCGCAGAAGGGAUCCCGCCGCCUGCGCGUCGCCCCGCCCGGGUCGGGGGUGGGAGUGGGCGGGGCUGGAGAGCGCUCUGGCGUGGAGACGGAGACUCGUCUGUGGCUCUUCGCUUCGUGAAGUCGACCGCCGCGGUAGUAAAGCUUUCUCUCGAGGACAGGCGCGCAGUGGGCUUGAGGCUGGAGGUCGAGGGGAGAAGUGAGGCAGAGACGGACAGUUAGGUCCUACUAAAAUGAGAAAAUACCCACGGGGCCUAAGGGAGUGGGAAAGAACAGGGAUGAGAGAGAUGAUGGCAUAUUCUUGCUGGAAAAACAAAAGCUCUCUGUAGGCGCUGCCCUCUGAAACAUGGGAGAAGGAAGCCUGUUCCACACCCAUGAAAGGAAUGACAGCCCUGAAGGUUGAUAAGUGGCUGUUGGAAUUCUUCCCUUUUCUGGAAGAGCAGUGUUUGCAGCUGAAUGUCAUCCACCCUUCACCAGUUUUGUGAUCUGUGAUUAUACUCUGUACAGUUUUAGUUUCCCAUGUUCAACCUUAGUCUAAAAAUGUUAAAUAGAAAAUUCCAGAAAUAAAGGUAUUGCCAGUUUUA